rnacentral:lncRNA from 1 species
CAUCAGGUGACAGAGCAACACCAGUCGGCCAGAACCUGUUUAAUUUCUCAUUCCUUCGCAGGGGCCUGUUUUGCACCCUGGCUGAAUGCAGGACAUGCCCGGACUUGGGACAAAUGUCCAGGAUAGCAUUAGUAUCGGAUGCAACGACUAUCAACCUCGCCUUGAACCUCAGAGUUUCAGCAGACAAAAUGCUUUUGAAGUCGCGGCAGACUGCCGACAGCUGCGAAUGAAAACAGUGGUAAUUAGCCUAAUAGGCCAGGAAAUAUCCUGACAUACUAUUGUAUUUCUUAAAGCAGGCGCAAAUCAUACAUAUUAUAUUUUUGCUAAUCUAGUCUUUGAGAUGAUCCCAUGAAGUCUCAAGCAGUUUAUAGGCAAAGCUUGAAAUGCUACUAAUGCUCCUACAGAUGUUGCCAGACCUGUAAUGCCUCGCGUCGAGUGAGGUUUCUAAAGAUCAGUUCCGAAACGUCACUCGAGAGCAGGGUUUGGAGGGAUGUCAUGGGCAUUGUAAGGCCUGCUUGGCAACCACAAGAAUCUUGGCAUAGCGUGAUGCCCUUCAGAUCGUCAUUGACAAUGGCAUUUGGUUCUACAAUGGGAUC